rnacentral:tRNA from 1 species
GGAUGUAUGUCUGAGCGGUUGAAAGAGUCGGUCUUGAAAACCGAAGUAUUGAUAGGAAUAUCGGGGGUUCGAAUCCCUCUCCAUCCG